GAAGACUCCAAAUCAUCUAGAAUGUAAAGACAGUCAGUGCUUCUACUGUGUUUGGGAUCUCAUCAGAGAAGUGAAAUAUGUAUACUAACAAGAGCGAACUAGACAGAAACCAACUGAUCUCUCCUGAAACUCUUUAGAAACAUCAGCAUCUGCUUCAUUAAGUGGGAGUAGCUGCAUCUGGUCAAUUUAUUCACAUGAAGGCCUAUGAAUGGAAUUUCCAGAACUGUCCUUCUGCCACAUCAAGAAUGAAUUAUUUAUAUACCUACUGAAACAACUGAGGAGAAACCUACAAAAAUAAAUUUGGACUUAUGUUGCAUACCUUAUAUCAAGAUAAGUUCCCAAUGAUUUAAUUAUUUAAAAUAAAAUUUAUCAAGG
rnacentral:lncRNA from 1 species